GAACGAACGCUGGCGGCGCGCCUAAUACAUGCAAGUCGAGCGAGAAGACGUAGCAAUACGUUUGUAAAGCGGCGAACGGGUGAGGAAUACAUGGGUAACCUACCCUCGAGUGGGGAAUAACUAGCCGAAGGUUAGCUAAUACCGCGUACGCUCCUUGGACUUCGGUUCAGGGAGGAAAGCGAUACCGUGGGUAUCGCGCUCUUGGAUGGGCUCAUGUCCUAUCAGCUUGUUGGUGAGGUAACGGCUCACCAAGGCUUCGACGGGUAGCUGGUCUGAGAGGACGAUCAGCCACACUGGCACUGCGACACGGGCCAGACUCCUACGGGAGGCAGCAGUAAGGAAUAUUGCGCAAUGGGCGAAAGCCUGACGCAGCGACGCCGCGUGGGGGA
rnacentral:rRNA from 1 species